rnacentral:rRNA from 1 species
UGCUUGUCUCAAAGAUUAAGCCAUGCAUGUCUAAGCAUAGCUGGUAACAGUGAAGCCGCGAAUAGCUCAUUACAACAGCCGUUGUUUCUUGGAUCUACUCUCUACUUGGAUAACUGUGGUAAUUCUAGAGCUAAUACAUGCAACAAGCUCCGACGCAAGGACGAGCGCAUUUAUUAGAACAAAACCAUCCGGUCCUCGGACCGUUCUUUGGUGACUCUGAAUAACUGAGCAAAUCACAUGGUCUCGCACCGGUGAUGUAUCUUUCAAGUGUCUGCCUAAUCAACUUUCUAUGGUAGUUUAUGUGCCUACCAUGGUUGUAACGGGUAACGGAGAAUCAGGGUUUGACUCCGGAGAGGGAGCCUGAGAAACGGCUACCACUUCCRAGGAAGGCAGCAGGCA